CUAUCCCAACUGAGAAAUUUGCAGUAAGGAAAGCUCGACGCUAUGCAAGUUCUCAACCAGUGAAGCUGAUAUUACCCGCCUUGGAAAUGAUGUAUGUCUGGAAUGGCUUUGCAAUUGUGGGCAAAAGAGCAGACCUCACUGAAAACUUACUGGUAACAAUUGAAAAAGAAGAAACUGCUCUACAAAAUGAAACUAAUCGCAAUGAAUACUAUAUGGAUGAUGUGUGCAUGUUGCAGUUACUGAAGGGCCUCUGCCUGAAACACUUGGGAAGACUCAUGC